UACGGAGGGUGCAAGCGUUAUCCGGAUUCACUGGGUUUAAAGGGUGCGUAGGUGGGCAAGUAAGUCAGUGGUGAAAUCUCCGAGCUUAACUUGGAAACUGCCAUUGAUACUAUCAGUCUUGAAUAUUGUGGAGGUCAGCGGAAUAUGUCAUGUAGCGGUGAAAUGCUUAGAUAUGACAUAGAACACCAAUUGCGAAGGCAGCUGGCUACACAUAUAUUGACACUGAGGCACGAAAGCGUGGGGAUCAAACAGG
rnacentral:rRNA from 1 species